CUCGCGACGGCCGAUCUGCCCCGCUGCACACACGCGCCGCCGGCCGCCGCCAGGCCUUCAGCAUCUAAGCACCUGAGCUCCUGAUCUAUUCGCCGCCGCCGAUGGACUCUGAUGUGGAGGCUGCCGGCCGCCAGGCCUUAAGCAACAACUGCAUUCUAGAUGAUGUGAUUUCCGAUCUGGGUAUCUGCAUACAAAUUGGAGACUAUGCUACCGCAGAAAUUAGAGGUCUUGCUUGGAGCCAAUGAGUGUUUAAUCAGCUGGAGUACAUACCUCAAUUCCUGGGUCCGCCAAUCUUGAUUGACCAACACGCUCGUCUGGGGAAGUUCACCAUGCUCCUGCUGCUCGCCGAUCCGGACCUGUUCGACCGCGCCGCCCAUCCCCUGCAUCCGCCUCUCUGUGUGCGGGUCCUCUACGAUGGCGUCGUCGCCACUGACGGCGAGCACCUCGACCAGCUUCUCAUUGCGAGGAUCAAGUUGGUGUACGUGCCACCUCUUGGGGAAGCCGCUGGCCCGGCGGUGGUGGGGUCGACCCACCUCUACCCCCACCGGGUGCAGCAGCUCGAGCACCUUGCCAUGCACGUGCGGCUGCCGCCACUGCAUGUCAUUCUUGUCAGCGGUUGGAUCCUCUUGUACAUCCAUUGUACACGCUCGUUCGUGGAUAGAGCAAUUGUGAAGCCAUCGAUCUCACUUUUAUCUCCUCUCCCGUGCUCACAUGCAUCUCCCUACCAGCCAUCUCAGAUCUCCUCUACCACUUGUGAUGAGGUAAGCUUAAUAAUUGUUUGCUUUUGUUCAGAUUUUUCUGAAUAAUCAUGAUUUUGACUACUUACUGGGAAGAGGUGUAUAGGUGUAUGUCCCAGCCAUCGGCAAUCCUUCUGCAUACAAGGUAUUUGAAAGAAUGCCUAUGCCAAAUUGAUCAUGCUAAAACACUCUGCCAUUAUGGCAGAAAUUUAUGAUGCGAUCAUUGAUAUUAUAGUGCAGUCUUCACAUUCAUAUGGUUUUUUGUUUGUUUGUUAUCCCCUUUUCCUUACUUUUCUCAAAUUUAGUUUUUCAGUGCCACUAUUUUAUUUAAGUACGUCUAUUUAUUUUUCACGGAAUUCUUCUAUUGGAAGUAGAACAGUUGCACUUGCAUAUCACGGAGACAACUAUGGCUUAGAGUUGGGCGAUGAUCGUCGUACGCUCAGAGUCAUGUGUGGCGUGUGUGGUUGUGUGCAUGAGCCGCGCGAUGCCAUAAGUGUUCAUGGUAUCGUUUGAAAUAUCGGCUCAAAUGAAAAUCAAUCCCAUGGCACAGUCUCCUUUUCAUGUAUGCUUCUUGAGGCUAGCGGUCAAGCUGCUUCCCCUCUCCUUAGAUUAAUGGCACUUCAAUGAGAAGUACGAUGGCGGCCACAGCGACGACGUUGUCAUCAAUUAACGGAUUUCACUUUUAAUGGCCGACGAUGCAACACGCAAGGAUCCUGCCUGUGGCCUUUAUACAAAUGAUGGUCAAUGUCUUUACCAACAUGAGUUUGGGAAAUAUAGUUGUCUCCUUCAGUAACACCAUCUAAAACACAUGCACUAUCAAUGGUUUGUUCAUGCAGAUCCCGAGUAAAGAAAAUGUAUAUGAUACUGACUUUGAGUAGGUGACUUAGGUUGACAUGAAGGGACUGGUAAUGGAUCGGGCAAGAUGUUCUGACAUCAAACGGUGAGACGCCUUUGCUCUGAAAUUCUAUUGGAAAAUACUGAAGUUCCAUUUUACAGAGGGCCUAGAUAAUGAUAACAGAAAUAUUGUUUGAAUACUUUGAUUCCGUAAGUACUAUCAUUCAGACGGAAAGACAUACAACUUUUUUCCUCCAAGGCAUCAAUUAAUUUGUCCUCUUUGCUGAUUGGCUCCAUCUAGGCUGCACGCAAAUGCAAUCAUUUCAUAUAGGGACUACAUUCAUUUGAGAAAUUUAGCAUGGUUGAUAUUACUGAUCUACGCACAAGUUUGUUUGAAUUUGGUAUCAUUGUUCUCGCUGUUAAUUUGGUUUCAUAGUAUACAUGUGUGGUUGAUUAGGAAUGGUAGUCUUAUAUAAUACGGAUCUUGAUGCCUCCUUAGCUUCAGCUGUAAGAAUGAUCCACUAUUUGUUUUUGUUACAAUUUAAAUGAUUAUUGGUGUAUAGUAGCUCCUAGAAGUCGGUAUUUGAGUGCAAGACCAACUAAACACAAUACUUGCAGUAGUAAAUUCAGAAAAUGCUCUUUAUGUACUUUUAAAAUUAUUUGCAUUUUCAUUAUAAAGAAGUGGUCUUGGUCACGCAUUUCUCCUAUUGAACCACAACUACGAUUGGCAACUGAGGCUAUAUGACUAGAGGGAAGCGUUCGUGAGGGAUUAGUAGGGGGUUGAGCAAGCACAAUACGCAGAUUAGAGUCGACUUUAUUAAUUUGUUUUCUAAAAUAAUUUUUCAUUUUAGGGUGUUGGCAGCAGGAAGGGCAAAGGAGCCCGAUCAUGACAGAGAAAUACGAGAGCACACCUCGUUCAAUAACCUCUCAUUCCAUAUUCCAAGUUACACCUUUUAUUCGUUGUAUGCAAUGCAUCUUUAAUACAACUAUAGACUCAUUUUGGUGUCUUUACUAGAACUGGGGCCGAGAAUUUGUGUACCCGAGAAUUUCGUAUUAAAAUUUUGCAUACUUAUAUGUUA